rnacentral:rRNA from 1 species
CCCUUAGAUGUUCUGGGCCGCACGCGUGCUACACUGAGUGGAUCAGCGGGUCAGGUUGCGCGAAAGCGUUUCCUAAUCUUUAAAUCCGCUCGUGAUGGGGAUUGACGGUUGCAAUUUUCUGUCAUGAACGAGGAAUACCUUGUAAGCGCGGGUCAUCAUCCCGCGCUGAAUACGUCCCUGCCCUUUGUACACACCGCCCGUCGCUCCUACCGAUUGAGUGGUCCGGUGAGGCUUUGGGAUCUGAGCGGAAAGAGCGUUUCGCUGUUUCUGCUCGGAAAACUCAGUCGAACCUUAUCAUUUAGAGGAAGGAGAAGUCGUAGCA